GCAGUGGUGGUUCAGUGGUAGAAUUCUCACCUUCCAUGCAGGAGACCCAGGUUCAAUUCUCGACCAGUGCA
rnacentral:tRNA from 1 species